rnacentral:rRNA from 1 species
UACAGAGGUGGCAAGCGUUGUUCGGAAUUACUGGGCGUAAAGGGCGCGUAGGCGGCCUUCUAAGUCAGACGUGAAAUCCCCCGGCUUAACCUGGGAACUGCGUCUGAUACUGGCAAGCUUGAGUGCAGGAGAGGAACGCGGAAUUCCAGGUGUAGCGGUGAAAUGCGUAGAUAUCUGGAGGAACACCGGUGGCGAAGGCGGCGUUCUGGACUGCAACUGACACUGAGAGACGAAAGCCAGGGGAGCAAACGGG